rnacentral:rRNA from 1 species
GACGAACGCUGGCGGCGUGCUUAACACAUGCAAGUCGAGCGGAAAGGCCCUUCGGGGUACUCGAGCGGCGAACGGGUGAGUAACACGUGAGUAAUCUGCCCUUCACUCUGGGAUAGCCACCGGAAACGGUGAUUAAUACCGGAUACGACCAAUCCCUGCAUGGGGUGUUGGUGGAAACUUUUUUGGGUGGGGGAUGUGCUCGCGGCCUAUCAGGUUGUUGGUGGGGUAAUGGCCUACCAAGGCUUCGACGGGUAGCCGGCCUGAGAGGGUGACCGGCCACGCUGGGACUGAGACACGGCCCAGACUCCGACGGGAGGCAGCAGUGGGGAAUAUUGGACAAUGGGCGGAAGCCUGAUCCGGCAACGCCGCGUGAGGGAUGACGGCCUUCGGGUUGUAAACCUCUUUCAGCACCGACGAAGCGCAAGUGACGGUAGGUGCAGAAGAAGGACCGGCCAACUACGUGCCAGCCGCCGCAGUAACAC